rnacentral:rRNA from 1 species
UACCAGCACCCCCGAGUGGUCGGGACGUUUUAUUGGGCCUAAAGCAUCCGUAGCCGGUUCUACAAGUCUUCCGUUAAAUCCAGCUGCUUAACAGAUGGGCUGCGGAAGAUACUAUGGAGCUAGGAGGCGGGAGAGGCAAGCGGUACUCGAUGGGUAGGGGUAAAAUCCGUUGAUCCAUUGAAGACCACCAGUGGCGAAGGCGGCUUGCCAGAACGCGCUCGACGGUGAGGGAUGAAAGCUGGGGGAGCAACCGG